UGGUGGAGUGAUUUGUCUGGUUUAUUCCGUUAACGAACGAGACCUCAACCUACUAAAUAGUUCGACGAACUCUUUCGUUCGUGCGUUACUUCUUAGAGGGACUAUCGGUGGCCUAGCCGAUGGAAGUUUGAGGCAAUAACA
rnacentral:rRNA from 1 species